rnacentral:lncRNA from 1 species
UUCCAAUCACCUUCAUGAACAUCAAUGCCAUGCACUUUAUCAGAGCAAAGACUUGGAAGCUGGUGUGCUUUGCCAGCAAAGGUGUGGAAGUACUCAUCAGGAUCAAACUUGAUCCUUAUCUCAGCCUCCAAUGUUUCUGCAGUAUUAGCCAUAGUUCCUUCUAGCUCUACUAGUCACAAAACCACUGAUCAGCUCACCUUGAUCUAGUAGAAUGCAAAUGCUAUCGUGUAUGGACCUUAACCAUCGGACCAACAUUUAUAUAGGGCCAGUUCCAAUUUUCCGUACAUCUGUGGUAGUUGGACUAUUAUCUUCAAUCUCUGUCAAUUAUCUUUUAAAUUUAUGCAGUUAUACCAUCAUACCCCAUAUUUUCAAAAUUAGACAUCUCAAAUUUGAAUGCGCUUAAAUUUGUCUUGCCAUUUCUCUUUUUGAUAGUCGAGAAAAUUUUGUAUCAUCUGGAACAACUUUUAAUAGGAUUAGAUAUAUUAUCUCUGAUAUAAGAAUAGGAGGUAACAUGUCACAGAUUCAAGCUCAGAGGAAGAUAAGUGUAGACGUAUAGUAAUUGGCGAAAACUCAUUGUACCGUAUACUUCAUUAUAGACAAAAUUCUGUCCUUUCACCACAUAUUUGCGAAAUGAAAGCCCUCAAAAAAAAAAAAAAGUGAUCUAGUGGCUUAAUUUUAUGAUCACACCUAUUCUUUUCGGCAAAUAGGCCCCAAUUCAUCAAUCAAACUUUAGUCACAGGUCUUAUUUUACAGAUCAACCAUGAGACAAAAAGCAAGACUUGGUACAAUCUCAUGACCAAUCGCUCGAAGUUCAUCAAACACAAUUUCGACAACAAUGAAAGCAGUAGGUACCCAUUGGCCAUUUCGCCUCAUCCUUCAUGUAAAACUUUAGUCAAGAAAAAAGCUGGAGUAACAUCAAUCGAGCUGUUUACCUCAUCGGACCUCCUUCUUCAUAAAUGCCAAUCCAUCCACCAUCUGAAUGAGACAUUACAUUACUUUGCUCAUAAUGCGCUCCCCACUCUAGAAAUUAAUAUUUGACCAUUUCUUCGCAAUAUUGCUAAUUAUAGUUUAGCAAAAUUGCUUAGCUACAAUGUUGUCCUCCAGCACCAAAAAGCAUCUAUAACCCCCAAAUUUAGUUCUUUUUCUUUUUUUUUUUCUAUCUAUGAAGUAUCUCUUUUUCCGACAAAUAGACAACAAGGUUUUAAAUUUCUUUUCUCAAGUUGGAGGGCCCAAUUGACUGACAGGGAUUGAACCACUGUCAGACCAAAUGGAUGCACUACACAUCCGUAUGAAUUUAAGCAAUUUAAAGUGGCAAAUCACAUACAGUAGCAAGUAGUAAAAGGUAAAAUUUGAACUCUUGACCUCCUACCCCACCAAAUCUUAAAGAAUAUGGUAGUGACCAAUAGCCCAAAUGUCUGUUGGUUUAUUUCUAUCUCAGUAGUUGUUCACCCAAUAUUCUAAGUACAGAUUUCUCGGCCCUUUUCAUGUUAAAAUGAAAAAGAAAAAAAAAACAGUAGGAAGUGCUUUGUCUGUUAUUAUUAAGGAUAUAAUUGUUAGCUAAUCUUCUUGAUAGUAAAAACUUUACUUUUUCUAGUAUAUAUAAACAUCGAAUGCAGGUUGUGUUUAUCAACAUACUACUCUUUUAUUCUUCUAUUUCUCUAAAAUUUAAAAAAAAAACAUAUGUUUAUUUGAACCAAAUGCGCAAGCUAUAUCGCGUAUUUUGCCUAUACAAACAAUUGAAGUAUCAUAAAGUACGCUUGCGGGGAACUCUAAGGAGUUAUUCAUCGUAGAAAAGUUGUAAAAUAAAAAUUUAUUGAAAUAUAAAGAAAAGCUCUUAAUUUUUAUCCUAAAACAACUUUAUCAUUCCAAACCCUUGGAGUGAACCAAAAUAUGUUCUCUCUAAUAUAAGAAGGAUCUAAAAUUCUGCAUUCACUGAAAAGUUUAUGCAACAAUUUUGUUACUAAAAAGUGUAAAAUGAUCUCAAUUAAUUAAGCAAUGCGUCACUCGUGAUUUCAAUUUGAAGUUGAAAUUUCAAUGCAUCACUCAUUAAGCAAUACAUAGUUGAAAUUUGAAGUUGGCUACAAUGAAUUACUUUCACUCAAUUAUCACACACACACACAAAGAGAUAAUCAUAUAUAUGCUGGCUAUUAGAUAAAAAUUAAUUAGUUGGGCUGGCAGCCUUUGAUGACUAUCAAUAGAAGAUACACUAUUAGUGGAUACGCUCCCACAAGCUGAAGUCAAGUCAGUCACAAUAAAGACGAAGCCUGUCCCUAAAGUUUUAAUCAAAACACGUUUCAUCCUUAUAGUUCUAUAAUUUUGAUCAAUUUCAUCCCUAAAGUUUCAUGUAAACACAUUUUAUCCUCAUAGUUUCAUAAAAUUAACCAAUUGAGGACAAUUGAAUAAUUGUUAACCAAUUUGGACCAAGUAUCAUUACAUAACUAGCAUUUCCCAUUGAUAAUUGUAUUAAUACUUAAUUCGGUUAUUGAUUAAAUUAUAUAAAUAACAAUGAGUGUGUUCGGAUAAAAGAUUAUUACUUUUAAAUUUGUGAUAUAAUAUAUGUGAAAUAAAAAAAAAAUUAAAUGAUAGAUAGACAAUUUGAAAAACAUGUAUAUAAUGCUACGAAACAAAAUUUUAGAAACAAAUGGCUAUCGAAACAGUUCUUUCUUUCACGUUAAUAUUUUUCUUCAAUUGAUUGCAGUGGGAUUGUUUGAAAGAUUUAUCCAAUUGGCUAUAAUGGUGUUAUUUCUUCUCCAUGACUUCGUUUCCUCUCAAUCUUUUGAGAAAAAUCCACUUUUCGUCCUUCCACUUUGAGUUAGAGAUACAUUUCGUCUCCAAACUUUUAGACACACUGCAUUUAGUAUAUGAAUUAAUUAUUUUUUGCCACUUUUAGUCCAAAAACAGUAAAUUACUUAAUUUGGAGGAAAAAAGUCAUGUGUUUGGCACGUGACCGUUAAGUAAAAUCAAUUUCUCAGUCAAAAUUAAUAGUCACGUCAGCCUUCUCCAUCCAAAUUGAAUAUUUUACAGUUUUUGGACGAAAUGUGGUCCAAAAUAAUUAAUUCAUAUACUAAAUGUGGUAUGUCUAAAAUUUUGAGGAUGAAAUGUGUUCCUAUCUUAAAGUUCAAGGACGAAAAGUGGAUUUUUUCCCAAUCUUUUUGUUCAAUUUGUGAUUAAAAAGAGAAUAAUGGUGGUUGAAAAUUUCUUAGUUUUUUUUAAAUAAGAAAGUGAAUUAAAAAAUAAUUUUUGAGAUUUUUUGUUGAUCCAAUAUUUUCUGAAUUUUACUAACAUGCAUGCUAUGGUCAAGUGAUGAUAUUCCAUUCAAAUUGCCUGUCAAUUCAUCAAUUAUCCUUAAUUAGUCAAAUUUAUGAACUUAUGAGGAUGGAAUGUGUUUACAUGAAACGUUAAGAAUGAAAUUGGUCAAAAUUAUAAAAUUAUAAUGAUAAAAUGUGUUUUGACUGAAAUUUUAGGGACAAAAUUGCCCAACACCUCAAACAAUGAGGAUGAAAAGUGCAUUUUUCCCUAAAAAUAAAAUGAACCUUCGUUCUACCCCUUAUGUUUUUGGGCUACAGUCCUUUUUAGUUAGUACUAUGUUGAUAUUCAAGAUAACCGAACGUAUAUAGCUAGACAUGUUGCUUUUGAGGAAUCUAGUUUUCCCCAUUCCUUGGUCCACCACCACGUCAAAAACAAACCAAUUCAAUCCACCUUGACUUGUUCUACCAAUUCAUGUUUUCAAAUUCAAUGGAUCCUACAUACAUUUUUUAUCACAAACCGACUACUACUCUAACGGAUACCUUUAUGGUGAGAACGGGUUGACCGUGCCUAUGGUAGGAAGGCCUCCAGAGGCCGACACGUGUUGCAGGUGGAUGGAUUGCAGACGGAGACGUUUAGCCGUGGAAUCGCGCGUGGAGAUGCAACGUUAACAUGUUGUCCGCUGCUGCAAGUUAACAGCAGAGGUUCGUACAGCCGUUUGCGUUUUCCAACGCAGUUUGGUGGGCCGGGGCAGUGUAAUUGCAACUCAGAACCACUGCUCAUUUAUACAUUUGCAAAUCUACCCGUUAGCAAGGGGAAAAUGCUGCCAAGGCCCUGGGCAAAAAAUUAUGCGUAAAGAACGAACCGAAGUUUGAACAAAUAAUAAAUGUAAACCGCGCAUGCGAGCGGGAUAAUAACUUGGAAGAAGGAAAAGCAGAGGAGAGGUAUCCGUACUACUCCCUCCAUCGUACUUUGAUAGUCCAAUUUUGCUCUUGCGUCUGUCCCAAAUUCUAGUACAUUUUUCAAUUGAAUUGAAAAAUUUAGUUGUAUUUAAAUUUUCGUAAAAUAGCCUUAUUAAAUAUAAGUUGUUGUUACUAUAUACCCACUUUAUAUAAUGAGAGUUGAUUCUUUUUUUACCAUUAAUUGAAGUUUCCAUAAAGUUGUAAUGUAAUUAAUGUGAUGGUAUUUUAGGAAAAAAGUUACUUAAAUUGAUUGUUCGAACAAAAUUAACUGCUUUUUCUUAGACCGUGCGAAAAACAAAUUUGAACAGUAAAUGUGGGACGGAGGGUGUAGUUUCGAGACAACGGCUCCAAACACUACCUUUAUGGUAGGAAACCUUUGAGCAAUCGUAACGUAGGCAGACCCGUAACAGGUGUAUUUGUAAAAUGAGGAGUUGACGCUCUGUUAUCUUGCAGUGGUAACACCCGUGCAGAUAAACAAAACAAGACGUAUGCGGAUGCAGGCCUUUUUCCCCUCCAAUUGCUGCGUUUAAUGUGCAGUGUUUCCCCACUGCUUUAAUACAUUUUUAAAAAUUGUGAAACUAUAGUUUUGUAAUAAAAUUAAUAAUAACAUACCAACAACAAAUACCCAUGACAUAAAUAUACUAAGCAAUUACAAAAAUAUUUAUGAUUAUGCACAUGUAGUUUAGAAUUUGCUCCCAAACACCGUGGAACUAAAUUUUUCAUUAAAUUUGAAGACAGUACGGAAAAAAGACUGAUUAAUGAAAAACGAUGUUAAAAAAUUUUGAAUUCACCGUCACAAAACAUGAAUUGGUGGGCAAUACCAAAAAGCAGGAUACUUUAAUCAUAUAAUGAAGCAAAGUCAUAAAUUUGAAGGCAAAGUUUUCAUUAAUAAAAAUGCCAACUCUUCACCGCUUUGUUAUCAGGCGUCCGAUGUAUGAGGAAAGUGGCAAUAAUUAAUGUGGUAAUUUAUUCGGUUUAUAUAAGUUUUAAAAUUCUUUUUGAGUUUCGACAAAAAAAAAAUGAAAAAUGUGUAAGACAAAGCACAAAAGUCAAUUUGAUUGGUGUGUUAGGGGAAAGAAUAGCAGAUAUGUAAUGUACCUGUAUUUGACGUUCAAAAUACUGCAGUGAUGUUUGUGAAAAACACCGUAAAAAACAUGUAAUUAAAAUGGAACCAAUUUUGAUUAUUUAAAAUACCCAAUAUGUGAAUGUGUUUUAACUGAUAUCCAUUGAUAUGCUAAAGCAUCGUUAUCCCACGAAAUACCAGCACCUUAACACCUAUUUUUUCCAUAAACAAAUUUAUUGAUGACAUAAAAUAAAACUAUACCCAUUUUCCAAUAAAUGGGUAUUUCUUUGAAAUACCCAGUGUAUUAUUGGAAAACGGUUUUAUUUCUAUUUCAUCCAAUUAAUAAAUUUGUUUAUAGGAAAAUGGAUAGUAUGUUGUUGUAAUAGAUAAAGCCAUAAAGAGGUGGGGUUGUAUUCGAAAACAAGUACAUUAAAAUUUAAUCGGGUUAAAGAAGUUGUAUUCGGAAUAAUGGGUUUUAAAGAGAUGAAAUUUGAUGAAAAAAUGAUACUUUACGAUAUCAAUGAAUAACAGUUGAAACACAUUCACAGACUUGGUAUUUCAAAUCACAGUAUUCAUUAUUUAAAAUACCAAAUUUGGGAAAGUAUUUGAACUGUUAUCCAAUGGUUUCGUAAAAUAAUAUUUUUGGUGAAAUAGCAGUUCUUGAACAACUCUUUUGCCACAAACAAAAUAAUGUAUCGGAAUAAAAAAAUCUGUCAUCCAAUAAAACACCAGCUCUUUAUGACUUUUAUGUAUUACAAGAACAGAGUACCCAUUUUCCCAUAAAACAGCAGCUUUUUAUGGCUUUUAUCUAUUACAAGAACAGAGUAUAUAAAUGUAUAUACGUGUUAAUAUUAUGUAUAAAUGUAUAUUAAUAUUAUGUAUAUUAAUAUAAAUGUAUAAAUGUAUAUAAUACAUAAUAUAAAUGUACAUUUACAUGUAUAAGUGUAUAUUAUUAAAAACAUAUAAAUUAUAAAUCAAUAUUAUAAAAAUGUAUAAAUUAAUAUAUUAUAAAUAUAUAUUAAUAUUAUGUACAAAUGUAUUAAUAUAAUUAAUAUAAAUGUAUACAUGCAUUAAUAUUAUGUAUAAAGGUAAAAUUAAUAUUUUGUAUAUUAAUGUAAAUGUAUAAAUGUAUUAUAUUAGAUAUUAUACAUAAUAUAAAUGUCUAUUAUAAAUAUACAUAAAUAUUUAUACAUUAUGUAUAAAUGUACAUUUAUAUAAAUGUGUAAUAUAUUAUAUAUUAUAUUAUCUAAUAUUUAUGCAAAUAUAUUAUAAAUAUAUAAAAAUAUACUACAAAUAAAAUAAAAAAUUUGUAAUCUGUAUGUAUAAAUAUAUAAUAUUACAAAUGUAUAAAAUAUAUAAUACACAUUAAUAUUGAAUUUAAUUUAUGCAUAAUAUACAUAUUAAUAUAUAUUAUGAAACAAAUUUUAGUAAAUAUAUUUAUUAAUUUAUAUAUAAAUAAAUGUAUUUCUAUAAAUAUAUAUUAUUUAUUUCAAUUCAUAUAAUAUAUAUAAUAUUAUACAUAAUUGAACUAAAUAUAUUCACAUUGAUAUAAUAUAUAUAAUAUACAUAAUUGAAAUAUACCUAUUCAAAUACAUCAUUGAAGUAUACAAAUUGAAAUAUAUUAAAAUAUAAUUCAAAUAUACAUAUUAAAAUACAUAAUUCAAAUUUAGAAAUUUAAAUAUACUUACUACAAUUCACAAAAUUUAUUGCACGAAUGCCGUAAAUACAGGGUGUUUUAUUGCAAACCUGAUUAAAAUUUUGUUCCCGUAAACAAAAUUUUCCACCCCUACAACGGGUACUCAGUUCUUAUAAGCUAUAAACAGUUACUGUUUUAUUCGAAAUCGGUUUAUUUUACUUUCUCUGCCACAUACAUUUUCAAAUGGAAAACGGGGUUCUCUGUUCUUAUAAUGGAGCAAAGUCGUAAAAAGCUAGUGUUCGACUGAACACCGGUGUUAAUUUUGUUUUUAUCCGAUAAAUAAAUUGUGUUAUGCAAAAAAAAUUAAAAGGCUACUCUAUUCUUAUAAUGCUGGAUAAGCCAUAAAAAGCUAGUGUUUUACGACAAAAUGGAUUUAUUAUAUUUUUAUCCCAAAAACAAUAUGGUAUGUCGAAACACGGACACUGUGUUCCAUUAACGGACGAAAGCCAUCAACAGCUACUGUUUUAUUGAAAAACAGGCUGGUUUUUUUUUCCGGAUAAAUAACCAGCCGUUAUGCAAACAAAGCGUACUCUGUUCUUAUACUAGUGCAAAGCCAUAAAGAGAUGGUGUUUUACGACAAAAUGGAAUUAUUUCAUUUAAUUUCCUAAAUAAAGCGGUUUAUGCAAAUACGGGUACUUUGUUCGUAUUACGGAAAAAAGCCGUCAAUAGCUGCUGUGUUAUUGCAAACGGGUUUUUUUUUUUUCAUUUUAUCCAAAACCUACUUUUUUUUAUGCAAAAAUUGGGUACUUUGUUCCUAUAAUGUGGGAAAGCCAUAAAGAGCAAGUGUUUUAUUGUAAAACCGAUUUAUUUUGCUUAAUCCACCAUUUACAUUUUUUAAACGUCCAAAAGCGGUUUUAGAGAUGAGGUGUUUCAUGCAAACUUGGUACUUUACCAUGCCAAUGGAUAACAUUUCAAACACAAUCAAAGGUUUGGUAUUUUAAUUAACAAACAUUCGGUUCCGCUUGGCUUACAUACUUUUCUGGGUACUUUUCAAAAACAGCACUCUAGUCCUUCGAUCGUGAAAUACAAGCCCUGUACAUUUCGGCAUUUCCUUUCCCUUUUACACAAAUCCUUUUGACUUAAGUGCUUUCCAAUCACUAAUUUUCAUUAAUAUGUUUACAUUGCAACAAACAAUUUAAUUCCGCAUAAAUUGCAAAAAAUUAGUAUCUCAACUAUUGGGACUUUGCUGAUUCUUUGGAGGUCUGAUAACAAAGCCGUUGAGAGCUGGUAUUUUUAUUACCGACACCUUUUUUCCGUAAAUGGACUGCUUUCUAUGAUUUUCCUUUACUAAAUGUCAAAGUACCGCCAUUUAAUCACCAUAAAUAUAUCUCUUUGUUCAGAACUUUAAACAAUAAUGCUAUUAACCUGUAUCUUUCCCUUUCAGACCAAGUUUUUUGACUUGUCCAUUUUUUCUGCGGCGCGGACAAAAUUCUUCGGUUACUUUCCUAUAAAACUUUUACACAAAAAAUUUAUAUAUGCAUAAAUUUUUUGUGUAAAAAAACUAAUUUAUUCACAUACGAUCGAGUAUUUAUCCAAGUAUAUUAAAACUCCACACUAAGUAACGUACUCAAUUUUAAUCAUGAAUACAACACUUUUCUGUUAUUUCAAAUAACAAAAAAAAACUGCUUCGCAUAAGUUUUUUUUCAUAACUGCUGUGCGCUAAUCAUUCUUUCUUUCUUCAAAUUUCUGAACCUUCUUUACGCACAUUUUUUGUCCAAGGCAUUUGCAGCAUUUUUGCUGCGGUAAUGGGUACAUUUGCAAAUACAAUAAAUGCCUCUCCUUCUAACCUGCAAUAAGACAUCCUGUCCCAACCCAGGACGAUAGUACGGAACUCUGUGUGCUUUGUUUGCUUCAUUCCGCACGCUGUCUGCUUCAUUUCCUCUCCACGCGCUCACCAUCACUUUAACGUCUCCGUUUGGACCGUUUUGCCCCCAACACGUGUCGCUCCCUGCCACCAUUCCUACCAUAGGCAGGUUCCCACCAUAAAGGUAUCCCUACUCU